UACGGAGGGUGCAAGCGUUGUUCGGAAUUACUGGGCGUAAAGAGUGCGUAGGCGGCUUGGCAAGUUGGAAGUGAAAUCCCGGGGCUUAACCUCGGAAUUGCUUUCAAAACUGCUUAGCUAGAGUAUGGUAGGGGAUAGUGGAAUUCCUAGUGUAGGAGUGAAAUCCGUAGAUAUUAGGAGGAACACCAGAGGCGAAGGCGACUAUCUGGGCCAUUACUGACGCUAAGGUACGAAAGCGUGGGGAGCAAACAGG
rnacentral:rRNA from 1 species